rnacentral:lncRNA from 1 species
CCUCCCGGCACAUAAACAAUCCGCUCGCGGUCCCGCCCCUCCCCCGCGCUCAUUGGUUCAUCCCCCCGCCUCGCCGCCCUGCGGUUGGUUCGCACAGCUGUCGCUCACGGCGCUGGGUGAAGGGAGGUGGGAGGAGCCCGCAUGGAGCUCAAUAUUAUUGGCUGUGCUUCACGUCAAUCAUCGCGGAGGAGAGCUAUUGGGUGGAGGCCGGCGAGGGGAAAGCGCGGAGCCUAUUGGUCGGGCGGCAGGUUGAGGGGCGGGGUGGGGCUGAGAACGCGGCACGCUAUUGGAGGAAGCGCCUGCCAGUCGGAGGGAGGCGGGGCUUCCUCGGCGGAAGACGGAAGCGGGAGGCGCUGCGCGGCAGCGGCAGCAUGGAGGGGGCGGCAUCGGCGGGCGGUGAGCGCCGGGACCGGGACCGGGACCGGGACCGGGACCGGGACCGGGACCGGGACCGGGACCGGGACCGGGACCGGGACCGGGACCGGGACCGCCCCUGGCGCUCGGCCCCAGCCCCGGGCCUUGGCUCCCCGCGUACCGGAGCCUCGCGGGCCCUGGUGCGGGGCUGCCGCUGGCACCCGGCCCCGCGCCGCCUCUCCUGGGCCCUCCCCAGUCCACUUCGGGCCCUCCCCGUUCCCCCCCGGUCCCCUCCCGAACCCCCCAGGUCCCCCCCCGGGCCCUUCCCGUUCCCCCCCGUUCCCCUUCGGGCCCUCCCGGCCCUCCCGGUUCCCCCCCGGUUCUCCCCCGCCCCCCCCGCCGUUACCCCGUGUGCAGGCCCUGAUGAGCUCCGCCGUGCUCCCCGCGGGCUCCAUGGCGGCGGCCCCUCAGCAGCGCUGCCCCCGGUACCGGGGUUGUGUUCCCGGCCCCUCCCGGUGCCCGGCCCCGGCAGGAAGCGCCGAGGGGCUGAGCUCACCCCGGGGCCCCGCGGUGCUCGUGGCCGCGCUGCCGCAGCGCUGAGGUCAUCGGGGCCGGGCCCUCCCCGCGGGCUCUGCUCAGCCCCGGUCCCGGUCCCUCUCCAAACCCGGCCCCU